UACGUAGGGUGCGAGCGUUAAUCGGAAUUACUGGGCGUAAAGCGUGCGCAGGCGGUUUUGUAAGACCGAUGUGAAAUCCCCGGGCUUAACCUGGGAACUGCAUUGGUGACUGCAAGGCUUGAGUGUGUCAGAGGGAGGUGGAAUUCCGCGUGUAGCAGUGAAAUGCGUAGAUAUGCGGAGGAACACCGAUGGCGAAGGCAGCCUCCUGGGCCAAUACUGACGCUCAUGCACGAAAGCGUGGGGAGCAAACAGG
rnacentral:rRNA from 1 species